rnacentral:rRNA from 1 species
GCAGCUAACGCAAUAAGUAGACCGCCUGGGGAGUACGGUCGCAAGAUUAAAACUCAAAUGAAUUGACGGGGGCCCGCACAAGCGGUGGAGCAUGUGGUUUAAUUCGAUGCAACGCGAAGAACCUUACCAGGUCUUGACAUCCUGCGAACUUACUAGAGAUAGUUUGGUGCCUUCGGGAACGCAGUGACAGGUGCUGCAUGGCUGUCGUCAGCUCGUGUUGUGAAAUGUUGGGUUAAGUCCCGUAACGAGCGCAACCCUUGUCCUUAUUUGCCAGCACGUAAUGGUGGGAACUUUAAGGAGACUGCCGGUGACAAACCGGAGGAAGGUGGGGACGACGUCAAGUCAUCAUGGCCCUUACGACCUGGGCUACACACGUGCUACAAUGGCCGGUACAGAGGGUUGCAAAGCCGCGAGGUGGAGCCAAUCCCAGAAAGCCGGUCGUAGUUCGGAUUGGAGUCUGCAACUCGACUCCAUGAAGCCGGAAUCGCUAGUAAUCGCGAAUCAGAAUGUCGCGGUGAAUACGUUCCCGGGCCUUGUACACACCGCCCGUCACACCAUGGGAGUGGGUUGCAAAAGAAGUGGGUAGACUAACCUUCGGGAGGUCGCUCACCACUUUGUGAUUCAUGACUGGGGUGAAGUCGUAACAAGGUA